CCUUUGUUUGACUUGUCCACUUAGAUUGUAAGCUCUUUGGAGCAGGGGGCCAUUGUGUAAGUAAAAGGCCGAGGGCUUUGGGACCUCUAGGUGUUACUGUAAUUUAAAUAACUCUCUUCUGUCCUGGAAGAGUUUUUUGCUACGUAAUCUUCAAAAAAUGACUGAGGAUCAGUGAGAGCUGGGCCGAUGAGAUCCACUAACAGGCAACCCAGCGCAGAGGUCUAAAGCAAAAUACGCCAAGCACUGGACUUCCUGGAAGAUGCGGCCCAGCUUAAUCCUGCUGUAGGACUCGAAUCCUGGCUUUGAAAUGUCUGAGCGAUUCCAACAAACUGAUGGGCUGGAAAUUGGCUUUAAAGCGCUUGGAACGCUGGCCCAUCCACCCGCAGACGGUGAGAGACCGCAGCCUCUGGUGGGCUGGUUCCCUGUGGAUAACACCAGCUGUCUUAGCUGCUGCAGAUAAAGGAGUCUUCCCACGUAGCAGUCAAAUUCUGGUUUCUCCAUGCGUUCUCUGUAGCGUUAGAGCAUUCAGCCUUUCAUUUGGCGAGGAACACAGUUACAGCACCAUCUAUCAAGCCACUUUGAAAAACCUUCCCUAGAAAGGGCAUAAAAAUCUUCCCAUACCAGUAGCCAAAGCCCUGAUGCGUGGCUUGAAAGUACAAAUUAGCACAAAGAAACCUGGUAAGUUGCACAGAGUUUUUAACGUUCCUGUGCCCUACUGCAGGAGCACACGGAUGCUGGGUAAGGGUGGCCCAUCCGGGGCCUAAGAUCAUGAGAUUUGGAGGGAAUCUUCAAAAGCGCCUCAAUGGCUUAUGAGCACACGUCCCAUUGGCUUUUGGCGUGCUCCUAAGUCACUAUGGGUCUGUCUACACUGCAGUUAAACACGUGCAGCUGACCCUUGCCAGCUGACUCGAGCUGGGGUUGUAAAACUGGUGUAGACAUGCAGGCUGGAGGCUGAGCUCCCUCCUCGUGGGGCCCCAGAGCUUGGGCUCCAGCCUGAACGGCCACCCUGAAAUUUUACAGCCCCACAGCCAGAGCGUGAGUCAGCUGACCCAGGCCAGCUACAGGCGUUUCAAGGCAGUGUAGACGCAUUCCUUCGGCUACCUCUGGGCGCUUCCCAGCGCGGGUAGAACAACUUGCACUAGCUUUGCGCAAGCUACCCCGUGAAAAAUGGUAGCGUGGCCACAGCACCUUGGGUCACCCAUCCAAAAUCCUGGAUACAUGCUUGGGGGCUGGUCCGCACCGCCAGGGCCACCCUGCUAUUUUAGCACACUGGCUUGAGGAGAGCUAGCCCAUGCCCGUCUACCGAAGCUGGGAAUUACACCUCCCAUCUGCAGUAUAGAUGUACCCUUAGGGCCUUCUGCAAAAGCCUGGUUCUGUUUACACUAGGGCCCCCUGAUACUGUUCUGGUGGUGCAAAGGGGUCUCCCUUUGGGUGUAAACGGCUUCGAGUUUAAGUCCGGCAGAACCUUACGUCUAAAUGUGAAUCAGGCCCUAAGUUCUGAAUUGGUCCGUACAGUGGAGGAAGGGGAGUUAAUUUCUCAUGCACGAGGCUGACUAGACAGGCCAAGUGGGAACCUUGCCAGCUGGUUCUCUUAACCUGUGUAUUAAAAUAUAUUGGGAUUUUAAGUUGGGUUAAUUUUUAUGGGCACUUCAAAAAAAUUGGGUAAAAUGCCCUGCUUCUAUCAGACCAAGGCCUGUUCUCUAUUCUGAAGGAGCGUGUCUGUUUGAUCACGGCAGGGGUGGAGUGAGGUGAUCUUUCAGUUCUAUUUUUAAACAGGUGGGCCACUCACUCCAACGGGAAAGUGGGAAGGGCAAGGGUGCGGGGGGGUUAAGGGUAGAAAUUGUCCUUUUGCAAGACAGGCCUAGAAGAAAAUGAGAACACAGUAAGCGGGAGGCUGGUUGAGAUGAGAGCUCGACACAUCAUUCAAUUGUAGAAGAGACACAAGCCAUCCUAAAUGCACAAAUACGCACAUCGGAGUGGACAGACCUAACGCCGAAGGUCAGUAUGGUUUCGUAUUGACCUUCUUGUGGCCACAGGAAGGUUUUAAGAAUUGGCAGCUGCUCUAACCUCAGUGGUUUAGAGCAAUUUUGCUUUUAGUUACUGAGCAUCUCACCCCUCUUGCUGUCCUCAGGGUCAGAGAUUAAAGGCGCAAGGUCAGUGAGGUACCCAACUUCCGUUGAUUUGGUGAAACACUGGAAUGCGUUACCUAGGGAGGUGGUAGAAUCUCCUUCCUUAGAGGUUUUUAAGGUCAGGCUUGACAAAGCCCUGGCUGGGAUGAUUUAACUGGGAAUUGGUCCUGCUUCGAGCAGGGGGUUGGACUAGAUGACCUUCUGGGGUCCCUUCCAACCCUGAUAUUCUAUGAUUCUAUGAUUUGCCGGGCCAGCUGGGCACUGAACUCUCAUUUGCGCCUUUGGAAAUCUGGCCCUAACAGCCGCUAGUGCUUGGUGAUGCAACAUGAGUGGGUUGUUACUUGAAUACAUCUUUGCUGGUUUGCCUGGCUAGCGCCUCAUUCUUAAGUUGCUGGCUGAGGAUGUGAAAUUUCUUCCCUUCAAAAGCUUUCGAUUCAUCCUAUGAUUCUUUGUGAUCAGUUAUCCUGUGACCAGUAUGAGAAAUGUAGCUCUUCAGAGAUACCCUCACCGUGGGAUUCCCAGUCUUGUGCUCCUUGUUCACGGCUGAAAAAACACCCAUUGCUCUGUGAUUCUUUGACAUCAGAAGUAGCGGCCUGGAGCACAAGACCCCUCGGGCACACUCGAGCCACGCCGGUACCUUGGCUUCUUUUAUCGACUUCCCUAGUUGGCUUUUUGCUGAUCCUGCUCAGCAAUGGAGUUCCACAACUGGUCCCCCAACUCUCCUUUGACACCUUUCCACCCAAGGGAGAAAGCUGAUCUUGGGUCCCUCGCUUAUGGAUCUGCAGCCCCUCCGCGGUAACAGAGCCAGCGAAUAAGCAUGCUGAUGGCUUUCAGGUUUUGUUUUUCCGGAAGAGCCACCUUCCUUAAAUAUCUCCCAGCCCUCUUCUGCGUCCUCCCUUGCAUCGCUCGAGCAGCUCUCUUCUCUUUGUGAACCCUGGCCUUGUUGGAGAGCUUGGCUCAGAAUUCCUCCACCUCGAGCGGAUUAAUCAUUUUAUUUAUUAGGCUUACGGGCCAAAUCCUGCUAAACCCGGGGCUUUGCCAGAUAAACAGGCUGCUUUGCAAAGGCAGCCCGUUUGUGAAAACACAAUUAGCAAACCCUGUAAUCUGCACUAAUUAUCAGGCAGCACUCAGGAGGUUCAUUUCCCUCGGCUCCCGCAGGGUUUCCCUGGCCCCACUGGAAGCCGCUCCUCGUGCUGGAGGAGGAGAGGGGCAAGAGCUCAGGUGAAACCCCCAGAAUUGCCCAGACCAUGGAGGAGGCAGAAGCUGGGAGCAGACGCCAACCUGGAGCCUCCUUCACAAUUGAUUAUCUGCUCUUCGCUAAGGGGAAGCCAGCCAGCAGGGAGCGGGAGCCCAGGAGCUGCCGGCCACAGGACACCCCUGGCUCCUCUGAAAGGAAAUCAGUGGAGGAGGUGGUUAGGGGGAACCCGCCCGUCCCAGAGUCUCUGGAUCCACUGGACAAACCCAACCAGUCUUACAUCGCCCUCAUUUCCACAGCCAUCCUCUCCUCCCCGGGAAAGAAGCUGCUGCUCUCGGAUAUUUACCAGUGGAUCAUGGAUAACUACCCUUACUUCAAAAAUAAGGAGAAGAGCUGGCGCAACAGCGUCCGGCAUAACUUGUCCCUGAACGAAUGCUUCAUCAAGGCCGGGCGAAGCGACAACGGCAAAGGGCACUUCUGGGCCAUCCACCCGGCCAACCUGGACGACUUCUCCAAGGGCGACUACCACCGGCGUCGAGCCCGGAGGCGCAUCCGCAGGAUGGCGGUGAACCUGAGCUAUUGCCACCCGUACGCCUUCUACGGAUUGAGCUGCUGCCCGGGACGUGUCUGCCUCUGCUGCCCUCCCUACGCGCACCCUGCUGGUCCCGGCCCUUCUGCGCAUUGCCAGUCUGGAUUCCCCCUCCUCCCUCUCUACCCGCCCGCCUCCCAGCGUCACCCCUACCUUCCCGCGGGCGCCCACAAAGGCCUGCAGGAGAAGCCGCUCAGCUGGCCUUGGCACAGACCCCACUUCCAUCGCCCCCUGCAGGCUCAUCCGUACCUGUAGCCUCCACUUCGCCAGCCUCCGGGGAGCCUUGGGCCACCAGGGAUCGUCCCAGCAAGGAGAUCUUUGGGCGCUUUUCCUCCCCUGCUUGGCCUGGGACGUGGCUUUGGAGCAGCCCCUGAGCAGCUCGGCGUGGUCUGCCUUUGGGUCCCUGGGGCCUGGCGAUCUUCCCCACCUCCGCCCUCUUCAAAGGGGGAAGUAACUCUUGCAACUCCAGCCCCCAAGUAGCCCCGCUCCAUCUGGCUCCCUACGUACAGCCGUGGAACCGUCCAUGCUCAUGGCCAUACCUGCCCAGCGUCUUUAGCGUUUGAAUGCUGAUGGGCUGCCUUUCCUCAUUGCUUGGGGCUGCUCCUUUCUGUGUGUCUCCGUGGUUUUGAUUUCAAAAGACAAGAGGCCUACGCAAGACUGAAGGGGCCCUAAAGCUCCGUAGCACCCCACUGCUGUUAAACCAUCAAGCAGGCAGGAACUCAGCCUGCCAGCCACCUACAGGACAUCUAUCCACCUCUGUAUUGCUCCAGGGGCAUGCAUGCAAUCCUCUCCAGCCCUCCCCUCCCCUCUCCGCUAGGUCUUCUGCAAUGCGCCCAGAAGCUUUGCCAAUUCUGGUCUAUGAGCUCCUCAGACUUGGCCACUCCUGCUCUGGGGGCCCAGGCCAUCGGUAAAGGGAUGCACAGAGCCUUUCACAUCUAGCUCCUGAGCUCAAGCAUGGCUCGGCUCAGCCGCUGAUGGUUCACGGGUGACUGUAAAGUGCAGUACGGUGGGAGGAGAUUGGCCCCAGCUGCUCGCUGGGCUGGUCAUUAAUGUGAUGAUAACCAGUUGUCUGCAUCCCACACCACUCUUGUGGGCAACCUCUGGAGACAGGCCAAGGACUGAAUAGGUCAUGGAGUCUCCAUUCUCCUGCUGGGCUGGGGCCAAACGCAGGGCCGUCACAUACCAGGAUUAGCACCAUGUUGAUGCCGAAGAUAAAGACAAUGUGACCUGCCUCCCUUCAGUGUGGUUCUCUGGGCCCCGCUAGGGACGUCUGGGUCACAGAUAGAUGUUGACGACCCAUCUGCAGCCGUGGCGAACGCACACGGGUGCGUCAGCUCAGGCAGCCAGAGCCGGAGGUCCCACCUUCAAGCUCUGCUGCUAAUGACCCUCCCUGGGCCAUGGCCUGAUGUUCACAAGCAAAACCAUUUUCCAGUUGGGCAACUGAUCCGCUCAACGUUGCCUUGUAGGCUAAGCCGCUGAGCCCAGGGUUAGCCUGGCCCACACUCCCCUAUUCAGGGCCGAGAAGCGGGGACGGAAUUUGCACCCCCAGCCGGUGCAAACCCACCCUGGCGGUGGAGCCAGAAGGUAUUGAUAGAGAGGAGGAGUCGGGGUUGCAAUACACAGAAGUGUAUUCGUGCGACUGAGGGAACAUGGGAUGGAAGCACAACUACCCGUGAUGUGCAAAGAACUUCACGUAGGAAGGAAAAAUCCAAUACACAGCUACUACCUGGGGAAUAACUGGCUAGGUGGCCAUGCUGCUGAACAGGUUACAGAGGAUCACAACUUGAAUGACAAUAUAGGGAACGGAACAGACAACGGCCUUCAUUUCAGUCAGCAGCCGAUCCUGAACAAGAGCAGGUGAGAAUCAAACGCAGCGUUUCGACUGGCGUCUCCUUACAAGACAGAAAAUCCAGGGGACGGGAACGUGGCCUGCGCAGACUUGAAAUUAGUGGUGGCUGCCCCAGCCUGGAUGUCGAUUAAUAAUAAUAAUUAAAAAAAAAAAUACCCAGGUCUCCCAGCAAACCAGCCAGGCCUUCUCCAGCCCUCGUCCCCUAGGGCGUUAGCAGCCGCCCUGAUCAUCGGUCACUAGUCGACUCAUAAAGGAGACACGACGACUCCAGAGCGACGUGGGGGAGCCCGAAGCGACACCGGAAUCGGCCUGCGCCCCGCAUCUCAGGGCAGCCCAAAGAGCGACACCGUGAACUGCCGGCGCUUCGGGCAGACGCGCUCUGAGGGUAACGGGCCUGGAAAGACGGGUUCGAGGCCAUCGGCGAGCCAGUGCAGCUCUCCUCCUCCUCUGCAGUUUGGAGCAGGUACCGCAGUGAAGUCUGGCACUACUGCAAUCAUCCAUUUACAGGAGGGAGCUACUUUAUGGGGAGGCGGGGUGGGAGCGUCCCUGUUUCAGCCUCCCCGGGGUCAUUGUCACUUUCAGCAGGAGACGGGCAGGGCGGGGAAGGCUCCUGACUUGAUUUUUAAAUUGUUGUGUCGGCCCCGGCUACUCGAGCCACAAGAGGGGCGAGGUCCCAUCUUCUGUUGGACCAGCGGCUGGUGGGGAGCGAGCCAAGCGUCCGAGCCACACAGCUGUGCGGUGGGCCCAACGGCUUGACUUUCUUCCACCGUCGGAACUCGGGCCCAAACAAAAUGUGACCGCGCUCCCCUCGUCGCUUGGGUUUUAAAAGGGUGUCUGCGAGGAAGAUGCAUGUUUGCUGCUAGAUCCUGGGCAAAAUGAGCCGGGUUCUUCGAUUAUUCUGGGGCUGGGGUGGAGUCAUUGG